rnacentral:rRNA from 1 species
UACGAAGGGUGCAAGCGUUAAUCGGAAUUACUGGGCGUAAAGCGUGCGUAGGCGGUUUGUUAAGUCUGUUGUGAAAUCCCCGGGCUCAACCUGGGAAUGGCAAUGGAUACUGGCAAGCUAGAGUGUGUCAGAGGAUGGUGGAAUUCCCGGUGUAGCGGUGAAAUGCGUAGAGAUCGGGAGGAACAUCAGUGGCGAAGGUGGCCAUCUGGGACAACACUGACGCUGAGGCACGAAAGCGUGGGGAGCAAACAGG